UACGUAGGUGGCAAGCGUUGUCCGGAAUUAUUGGGCGUAAAGCGCGCGCAGGCGGUCCCUUAAGUCUGAUGUGAAAGCCCACGGCUCAACCGUGGAGGGUCAUUGGAAACUGGGGGACUUGAGUGCAGAAGAGGAAAGUGGAAUUCCACGUGUAGCGGUGAAAUGCGUAGAGAUGUGGAGGAACACCAGUGGCGAAGGCGACUUUCUGGUCUGUAACUGACGCUGAGGCGCGAAAGCGUGGGGAGCAAACAGG
rnacentral:rRNA from 2 species